rnacentral:rRNA from 1 species
UACGGGGGGGGCAAGCGUUGUUCGGAAUUACUGGGCGUAAAGCGCGUGUAGGCGGCAGGGCAUGUCGGAUGUGAAAUCCCGUGGCUCAACCACGGAAGUGCACCCGAAACUGCCCAGCUUGAGUCUCGGAGAGGAAGGCGGAAUGCUUGGUGUAGAGGUGAAAUUCGUAGAUAUCAAGCGGAACACCGGUGGCGAAGGCGGCCUUCUGGACGAUGACUGACGCUGAGACGCGAAAGCGUGGGGAGCAAACAGG